rnacentral:rRNA from 1 species
GGCCUUGACAUACUAAGAACUUUCCAGAGAUUGGAUUGGUGCCUUCGGGAACUUAGAUACAGGUGCUGCAUGGCUGUCGUCAGCUCGUGUCGUGAGAUGUUGGGUUAAGUCCCGNAACGAGCGCAACCUUUUCCUAUUUGCCAGCGGGUCAUGCCGGGAACUUUAAGGAUACUGCCAGUGACAAACUGGAGGAAGGCGGGGACGACGUCAAGUCAUCAUGGCCCUUACGGCCAGGGCUACACACGUGCUACAAUGGUCGGUACAAAGGGUUGCUACCUCGCGAGAGGAUGCUAAUCUCAAAAAGCCGAUCGUAGUCCGGAUCGCAGUCUGCAACUCGACUGCGUGAAGUCGGAAUCGCUAGUAAUCGCGGAUCAGAAUGCCGCGGUGAAUACGUUCCCGGGCCUUGUACACACCGCCCGUCACACCAUGGGAGUUUGUUGCACCAGAAGUAGGUAGUCUAACCGCAAGGAGGACGCUUACCACGGUGUGGCCGAUGACUGGGGUGAAGUCGUAACAAGGUAGGCGUAGAUGA